rnacentral:rRNA from 1 species
GUACGCUGGCGGCACGCCUAACACAUGCAAGUCGAACGCAGUAGCAAUACUGAGUGGCAAACGGGUGAGUAUAAUGUGGGAAUCUGCCUUUUGGUUUGGAAUAACACGGGGAAACUUGUGCUAAUACCGAAUAAGCCUUUACAGGGAAAGUUUUAACGCCAAAAGAUGAGCCCGCACUUGAUUAGCUAGUUGGUAAGGUAAAAGCUUACCAAGGCAACGAUCAAUAGCUGUUCUUAGAGGAAGACCAGCCACAUUGGGACUGAGACACGGCCCAGACUCCUACGGGAGGCAGCAGUGGGGAAUCUUGCACAAUGGGGGAAACCCUGAUGCAGCGAUGCCGCGUGAGUGAAGAAGGCCCUUGGGUUGUAAAACUCUUUCGUCGGGGAAGAAAAUGACUGUACCCGAAUAAGAAGGUCCG